rnacentral:rRNA from 1 species
GUGGGUAGCAAACAGGAUUAGAUACCUUGUAGUCCACCCNGUAACCGAUGGAUACUAGGUGUAGGGGGUAUCACCUCCCCUUGUGCCGCAGUUACCNCAAUAAGUAUCCCGCCUGGGGAGUACGGUCGCAAGAUUAAAACUCAAAGGAAUUGACGGGGGCCGCACAAGCAGCGGAGCAUGUGGUUUAAUUCGAAGCAACGCGAAGAACCUUACCUGGACUUGACAUCCCUUGCAUAGCCUAGAGAUAGGUGAAGCCCUUCGGGGCAAGGAGACAGGUGGUGCAUGGUUGUCGUCAGCUCGUGUCGUGAGAUGUUAGGUUAAGUCCUGCAACGAGCGCAACCCUUGUUAUUAGUUGCUACCAUUAAGUUGAGCACUCUAAUGAGACUGCCUGGGUAACCAGGAGGAAGGUGGGGAUGACGUCAAAUCAUCAUGCCCCUUAUGUCCAGGGCUACACACGUGCUACAAUGGUAGGUACAAUAAGACGCAAGACCGUGAGGUGGAGCAAAACUUAUAAAACCUAUCUCAGUUCGGAUUGUAGGCUGCAACUCGCCUACAUGAAGCUGGAGUUGCUAGUAAUCGCGAAUCAGAAUGUCGCGGUGAAUACGUUCCCGGCNCCUUGUACACACCGCCCGUCACACCAUGAGAGCUGGUAACACCCGAAGUCCGUGAGGUAACCGUAAGGAGCCAACGGNGAAGGUGGGUUAA